rnacentral:rRNA from 1 species
AGCUUGCUCUUUUCAGAAUUGAGUGGCAAACGGGUGAGUAACACGUAAACAACCUGCCUUCAGGAUGGGGACAACAGACGGAAACGACUGCUAAUACCGAAUAAGUUCCAAGAGCCGCAUGGCCCAUGGAAGAAAAGGUGGCCUCUACCUGUAAGCUAUCGCCUGAAGAGGGGUUUGCGUCUGAUUAGGCAGUUGGCGGGGUAACGGCCCACCAAACCGACGAUCAGUAGCCGGCCUGAGAGGGCGACCGGCCACAUUGGGACUGAGAUACGGCCCAGACUCC